AUAAAGGGAGCAGAUGAAUGACUGAAGCCCUACAGCUCCACUAAAGAUUAGAGUAAAAUCUGCACUUCAAAAGAUCCUGUAUUCUUGCAAGAGAACAGAGCUCCUGAUCACCUGUGUGCGUCCUUUGAGUGGAUGGCAGCUGCAUCUCUGCAUUACAGCUAGUUAGAAUGAUGAGUCCUUGCUAUGCCUCAAGCACUGUUUCGAGUGUUUGAUGUCUAUUAUCUCACUUCAUCCUCACCAGGACCCCAUCCGAGGAUUUGCGACUUGAGUAGCAUUGACGGUGGUGAUGGGGAGCCUGGCAAGACAGCAGAUGUCUACAGCAAGAGGAGGGAAUGGGAAGCUGCUCUGAUGGCGUAAUCAUCAAGGUUGCUGAUAAAAUGGCCUUAAUUUCAGUUGACAGUAACUAUUGGAUCCCCAGGAAUAUGUUUGCAUAUUUGGGGAGAAAAUACUAUUGGAGGGGAACAGAAAUGCUACUAAGGGUCUCACUGUGUCACCCAGGCUGGAGUCCAUCAAAGCUCACUGCAGCCUUAACCUUCUGUGCUCAAGGGAUCCUCCCACUUAAGCCUCCUGAGUAGCUGGAACUACAGGCAUAUGCCACCGAGCCUGGCUAAUCUUUGAUUUUUUUGUACAGAUUGUGUCUCCUUAUGUUGCUCAGGCUGGACUCAAACUUCUGGUCUCAAGCGAUCUUUCCAUCUUAGCUUCCCAAAUUGUUGGAAUUAUGGACAUGAGCCAGUGUGCUUGGCCUGAUUUUUUUUUUUUUUUAAUGAGAAAAACGUUCCUUAAGAAAAGUUUCAUUGUAGUAAGUAAUCAGGAUGAAUAGCAUAUAUUAGCUCCGAAAAACUUUGGAAGCCUUCUUACUUCACUGAAAGUGGGGUUUAUCAACUCAGCUGCCAACGGCUUUCCUCCCAUUUAGCCUUUGUGUGAAAAACACAAUUAAUACUUUCUUGAGUAGUACAAGCUGAGCCGAGAAACCAUCUUUCAGAGGUGUAAAUUCUUGCCUUGGGUGGAAGGCUGGAUGUUAUUAACUUUCACAAUUUCUUUCAACACUUGAUUUUCCUCAAUCAUGGUAAAGACAUAUUAUUUAUUUUUCUUUUUAGUUGGGAAAGUUGAUUCACGUGACUUUUGCAUUUUGUAGAAUUUUUAAGAGGUAAGAUGAAAAUUAAACAUUUGUGCGUGUUAAGGAUCCAUGUUUCUCUGUCAGAUGUCUGGUAAUUUGCUUGACGAUUUUUGCAAAGAUAAUUUAGAAAUUAAGGAAACCAUUCUCUACGUUUUUCUUUACAUUAAAAGAAAAAAGUCUCCAAUAAAAAAUUUCUCUAUCCACAUUACAGGUUAAUUUACAAUUUCAGCUGCUGGUGGCUGGCUUGAGGCCUCAAUGUUAAAAAUGAGAAUGAGGCUAAUUCUAGUGAAUAGAGGUCCACACAGACAAUUGCUAUCUUUGUUAGAUGCUCCAGUACCAAGCCUAAGAAUAGGAAAAAAACUAAAAACACCCUGGAAAUGUAACAGAAUCAUCUUUUGCUGCCAUCUUUCUCUUCAGUAUAAGCUGAGCAUGUGUUUGAUGCAUAGCGGUGUGGGAACUAUAUACUUUCUUCUUACUUUCCUUCAGUAAAGGAGCUUAGCUCCAUUAAGCAUUGUUCAAGAUAGUGUAUUUAAAAUUAACAUAAAAGGUAAAAGAUUUUAAUGCCUUUUAAUAUAAGGAAAAUUGAUUUUAUUAAAAUGCUUUAAGAUACUACAAUACAAUUACUUAUUUAUCACUCUAACUCUGUAUUGUGAGUGUAGCUUCCUUUCCAAGUAUACUGAUUUUUUUAUGGGUUUUGGAAGUAGGAAACGAACCAAAGUAGUCUAUCAAAAUUCUCAUUCACCGUCUUUCUUAAGCAGAACCAAGUCCAUCAUGCCGACGGAGACUAUUUCAAGAGUAGAAAUUCUUUUUAUUCAAAGGGGUAGGAUUAAACAAUGAAAGACAGGUUAUAUUUUUCUAACCUGUGUUUUGCUGAGCUGAAGCAUGAAAUAUCAAAUAUUUAUAAUAAAGUAUUCAUAGUUAAGUACACUGAAUCAUUAAAAUGUUGGAAAUAUUGAAAUGGAUGAUCGAUCUUAUUGGAGUCCUUGUGUGAUACAGGAACUUCUGUAUUUACUGUUAACAAGAAAAACUCAAAAGGUUACAUUCCUUUUUAGAUUCAGAGCUCAAAUAGAAUUGAUUUAAAAUUUAAAGCACUUCUAAUAAGACAUUUCAGCAUUGCAUAAGUUAAACAUGGAGAAAAAAAUAAAUACAUUUAUGUUUUUCUAUUAAUACUUACUCUAAGUUGUUUACUAGAACUCAGAAUAAAUGUCUCUAAAGAUUUAGUUUUAAUUUUUGGCUGCUUAGCUCUUACAAUGACAUUUAUUCUGAGUACCAUAUUAAAUGUGUAGUAAUAAUUAUAUGUAUUUUUCCUAGCUUGUGAUAUGAGGUAUCUUGCAUUUUGGCAUAUUAUUCUGAUUUUAGAGACAGGGUCUUGCUCUGCUGCCCAGGCUGGAAUGCAGUGAUGUGAUCACAGCUCACUGCAGUCCUGUACUCUUAGGCUUAAGUGAUUCUCCUGCCUCAGCCUCUGAAGUAUCUAGGAUUACAGGCAUGUGGCACUAUAUCUGGCUAAUUUAUUUUUUAAUUUUUUUGUAGAGACGAGGACUUGCUAUGUUGCCAGUUUGGUCUUGAACUCUUGGUCUCAAGUGAUUCUCCUGCCUUGGGUUCCCAAAGCGUUGGGACGGCAGAUGUCAGCCACCGCGCCUGGCCUUAUUCUUAUAAACUCAAAAUUAUCUGAAUUCAAGCAAGGAUCAAAGGUUGCAGCAAAAUGUCACAUUUAAGAAGCUGAGUAAACACAGAAUGAGAAGCCCUAAAGCGAGGUGCUGUGUUAAUAGACAGGCUAAUCACUUCCUGAAUACAUAAGAACUAGCUCUUUGUAGAACUAGCAGAGAGACUGCUAACAGGUUUUUGUUUUAGAUUGAUGGAUUGAUUUUCCAGGAACAGGCCUGAUGAGAGCCCUCAUAAAAAUUGCCUCUCAUAGCCUAUUGCAAAUAAGUAUAAUCUUACAUAAAUCAAAGCACUAGUACGUAAGCAUCCCAAGGACAGAGAUUUUGUCUGUGUUGGUUCACAGCUAUAUCCAGAGUUCAGGCAAGUGCCUGGCAAAUAGUGGAGGCUCAGUAAGUAUCUCUUGAGUGAACUGAAUGAAUGAAAACCUUGACUUUUCCUUUAAAUAGGAUUAACAUUAAAAGCAAAACAAAACAGCAUGCUUUCCUACUUCCUUGAUGGAUUUCUGACCCUAAGAAUGCUGUUAGGCAAGUAAGAAGGGCUGGAGAGCAGCAUGUGAAGGGCACAGUGCAAAUGUGUACAUUUAGCAAGUAUUUCAGAAAUCUCGGAUUUGGUGAAGUAUUUGCUGGAGUGUGUGGUGUGAUGUCACACUUAACUCAGAUACAUGUGUCACAUUUGAAUUACAAAUAUUCUGUCCAGCAUCUCCCUAACUUGAGUGACUAUGCUUAUACUUUUUUCUACACAGGGUUUUCAUAAAUCUUUGAUCCUUGACCAAGUGUCAUAGAGAACUUUUCUUAAGUGAAACUCUCUGCAAACAGUUAGCUUAUAUUUAAGUUUCUAUUCAGCUUUGAGUAUAGUAUUUUGGCUAAAAUAAUGUUUUGCAUGGUCCAUUUCACAGGUGAGGUUGAUUAUAUAGCAUUCAUUACUCUUAAUUUAGCUUACAACCUCAGAUAGUGGUUUAAAAUAUAUAACACUCAUAACUAUGUCUAAGUUAAUCAAAUUUAAAUUAUUUUCUACUCCUGUAGCAAACAUUUUUUGAAAACAGAAAAAAGUCCCUUUUUACAGCAUAGGCUCGCUGAUAAUUUGAAUAGAAAACCACUCAUUUCUAUACAUGAAAUUUUCCUGAUUGUCUUUGUAAUAAAAACUGAGAGGAUAUUCGUCAUCCCUGGCUGAGCUGCACUGAAUUCUACUCUUUUAUACAUGUAAUAAAACAGCAAACAACAUCAAAAUACAUUAUUAAUUAGGCAUGAAUUUCUUAAAAUGGUUUACAUCAUCUCAUUUAACUUCAGAGCUUGCAGACAUUAACAGUAAGUCACCACAAAGCUACCAUUGAUUUAUAAUGCACAUUACCACAUCAAGCCUGGCCCAAGGACUCUGGGCCCAGAAGGAAAAACAGCCAUGGCAGAAAUAUAAUGAAAACAUAUCUGUAUUCACAGAAAACAAUUAGGCUUAAUGUAAUUAGAGUGAACAUUCAGGUUCAUUUUAUUCAAAGGUAAUGUUUCU
rnacentral:lncRNA from 1 species